CCUACGGGAGGCAGCAGUGAGGAAUAUUGGUCAAUGGACGAGAGUCUGAACCAGCCAAGUAGCGUGAAGGAUGACUGCCCUAUGGGUUGUAAACUUCUUUUAUAUGGGAAUAAAAUGUUCCACGUGUGGGAUUUUGUAUGUACCAUAUGAAUAAGGAUCGGCUAACUCCGUGCCAGCAGCCGCGGUAAUACGGAGGAUCCGAGCGUUAUCCGGAUUUAUUGGGUUUAAAGGGAGCGUAGGUGGAUUGUUAAGUCAGUUGUGAAAGUUUGCGGCUCAACCGUAAAAUUGCAGUCGAAACUGGCAGUCUUGAGUACAGUAGAGGUGGGCGGAAUGCGUGGUGUAGCGGUGAAAUGCUUAGAUAUCACGAAGAACUCCGAUUGCGAAGGCAGCUCGCUGGACUGCAACUGACACUGAGGCUCGAAAGUGUGGGUAUCAAACAGGAUUAGAUACCCCUGUAGUC
rnacentral:rRNA from 1 species